UGGAGCAUGUGGUUUAAUUCGAUGCAAACGCGAAGAACCUUACCUGGUCUUGACAUCCACAGAACUUUCCAGAGGUGGAUUGGUGCCUUCGGGAACUGUGAGACAGGUGCUGCAUGGCUGUCGUCAGCUCGUGUUGUGAAAUGUUGGGUUAAGUCCCGCAACGAGCGCAACCCUUAUCCUUUGUUGCCAGCGGUCCGGCCGGGAACUCAAAGGAGACUGCCAGUGAUAAACUGGAGGAAGGUGGGAUGACGUCAAGUCAUCAUGGCCCUUACGACCAGGGCUACACACGUGCUACAAUGGCGCAUAUAAAGAGAAGCGACCUCGCGAGAGCAAGCGGACCUCAUAAAGUGCGUCGUAGUCCGGAUUGGAGUCUGCAACUCGACUCCAUGAAGUCGGAAUCGCUAGUAAUCGUGGAUCAGAAUGCCACGGUGAAUACGUUCCCGGGCCUU
rnacentral:rRNA from 1 species